CGGACGGGUGAGUAACACGUGGGUAACCUACCUAUAAGACUGGGACAACUUCGGGAAACCGGAGCUAAUACCGGAUAAGAUAUCGAACCGCAUGGUUCGAUAGUGAAAGAUGGUUUUGCUAUCACUUAUAGAUGGACCCGCGCCGUAUUAGCUAGUUGGUGAGGUAACGGCUCACCAAGGCAACGAUACGUAGCCGACCUGAGAGGGUGAUCGGCCACACUGGAACUGAGACACGGUCCAGACUCCUNACGGGAGGCAGCAGUA
rnacentral:rRNA from 1 species